CCAACUGCAAGGUAAGCUCUGUCCUUAACUUUGCUAAUUUCAGUUCAAAUCUCCUCCAUUUCGUUUCAACAUGGCACCUUCAAUUCAUUUCAGUUAUUCUACAAUACAUUCAACCCCAACAACAACCCAUCUGCUUGAAAACAUUCAAGGUAAUUUGCUGUCUCAAUUGCUCAAUUCAGUUCGCCUCCAUAUCAACUGAACAUCACCCGAGAUAAGGUAGUAGAACUUAGCUUUAAAAGAGGUAGGACUGACUGCCCGUUCGGUUGGGACAAAGCGGCGUGACAGCAGUGGCGACUGGUCGUGGGUGAGUGGCACGGUGCGGUGGGCGUGGCCGGAAUGGGCUUCUGUGCGGCGGAUCUGUGAGCGAAGGUGGGCCGGCAGAGACCUCAGGGCUGCGAAUCUGCUGGCUGCUGCUGUGAAGGCUCAAGAAUCGCACUGCUGCUGCCGGACUGAUGUAGCUGGAGAAGACGUCUGCUACAAACUUGCAGCGCUGCUGACGGAGGAGGCUGAUCGGUGCGGCCCGGGCGUCUGCGCUGAAACCGGCGGCGACUGGUCGCGGGUGUGCAACACGGCGCGAUGUGCGUUUCUCCCUCUCUAUAUCUGGGGCGUUCGAAGGCGGCGGUGGCUGAACUUGGUGGCUGAACUUGGGCGGCGGUGGCUGAACUUGAGGGCGGCGGUGGAUCUGAACUUGCUUGGGGCGUUCGAAGGCGGCGAUGAUGGCUGAACUUGAGGGAGGCGGUGGCAGUGGCGGAGGAGGACCGGUGGCGGCGGAUGGAUCCGGCGCUGGUAGUGGACGAAUCCGGCGCUGGCAGCAGAGGCGCGGAUCCGGGGAGGCACAGGCAGCGGCGCAGGCAGCAGGGCGGCGCGCGGCGGGCAGCGGCGCGGGGGCUCGGCGGAAACGGCGGAAACGGCGAGGCGCUGUGGAGAUCCGGCAGAGAAGGAAACGGCGC
rnacentral:lncRNA from 1 species